GCUACACAUGCAGUCGAGCGGUAACAGAAGUAGCUUGCUACUUUGCUGACGAGCGGCGGACGGGUGAGUAAUGCUUGGGAACAUGCCUUGAGGUGGGGGACAACAGUUGGAAACGACUGCUAAUACCGCAUAAUGUCUACGGACCAAAGGGGGCUUCGGCUCUCGCCUUUAGAUUGGCCCAAGUGGGAUUAGCUAGUUGGUGAGGUAAUGGCUCACCAAGGCAACGAUCCCUAGCUGGUUUGAGAGGAUGAUCAGCCACACUGGAACUGAGACACGGUCCAGACUCCUACGGGAGGCAGCAGUGGGGAAUAUUGCACAAUGGGCGAAAGCCUGAUGCAGCCAUGCCGCGUGUGUGAAGAAGGCCUUCGGGUUGUAAAGCACUUUCAGUCAGGAGGAAAGGGUGUGAGUUAAUACCUCACAUCUGUGACGUUACUGACAGAAGAAGCACCGGCUAACUCCGUGCCAGCAGCCGCGGUAAUACGGAGGGUGCGAGCGUUAAUCGGAAUUACUGGGCGUAAAGCGUACGCAGGCGGUUUGUUAAGCGAGAUGUGAAAGCCCCGGGCUCAACCUGGGAACUGCAUUUCGAACUGGCAAACUAGAGUGUGAUAGAGGG
rnacentral:rRNA from 1 species